GACGUAGGGGGCCAGCGUUGUUCGGAAUUACUGGGUGUAAAGGGUUCGUAGGCGGUGUGGCAAGUCGGGAGUGAAAUUCUGGGCUCAACUCAGAGACUGCUUCCGAAACUGCUGUGCUGGAGUGUGGGAGAGGCGCGUGGAAUUGCAGGUGUAGCGGUGAAAUGCGUAGAUAUCUGCAGGAACACCCGUGGCGAAAGCGGCGCGCUGGACCAUAACUGACGCUGAGGCGCGAAAGCUAGGGGAGCAAACAGG
rnacentral:rRNA from 1 species